GCGGGUAAUUGCGGACCUGCGAGAGGCUGGAUGUAGUAUUUGGAGUGGUGUUUGGAGUCGUGGUCGGCUGAGGUUUACCAUCGUGAAGCCUAGUUUGAUUCUUAGAUGUUGCUUAGGAGUGUUGCAGGUGUUCUCUCCUUCCACCUCAAGGGCAGAAACUUUCAGCAGUGACUACUCCCCAGAGCUGCCUGGUGAGCAACACCCUCCAGUGUUACAGAUGAGGAAGCCAGGCAAAGUAAAUGGCACUCAAGAGGAGAUGGUCCAGAGUUUCUGCUUUCCUGGAGAACCAUCCGCCCCAUCACUGCUUUGGCGUAACUGAUCACAGAUUUUGAAAUGGAAUGUGUGUGUGUGGAAAAACAUCACUUAAGGUGAAAAAAGUAAAUUCUCUGUGACUCAGUUGGACCAGGUAAGUAUUUCAGCCUUAGUGUGUGAAGGGGCUUUCGGACAAAUGCAUUUGACAAGCCACUGAGGGAAAAAGACCUUUGUUAUUAGACACGAAUGCUGCUAUGUCAUACAAAGAAACUCAAACAGCCCACCCCCCUGAAAAAAAUAAAGAGAAAAGGAGAGGGAAGAACACCACGGCUUAAAUGAUAAGUUUCGUAAACGUUCUGCUGUUUUAUAAUUUUUCAGUUGAAACUACAGUUUCCUUUUUCUUCCUUCUACUUUUAUACACACAGCCCAGAAGAUGGACAUUUGGCAAGCCAUAAUAGACUGCUCCUUUCCCAGCACUAAGGAGGAACGGCCUCGGAUGCUCAAAUCCUCACUCUCUGACUCACUACAUAAUUUUGGACCUGCCACUAAGCCUCAGUUUCCACACCUGGAAAGAGAGGAGAAUAAUUACAACCUCAUUUAUUUGUCGUGAAGAUAAAAGGAAAAUCAUGUAAGUAAAAGUGAUUUGUAGAUUGUAAAAGACUUUAAAAAGACUGGAGCUGGCAUAGUAUUUCAUUAAGAGCAUCGGGAGUAAAACUACCAGAGUCCAACUUACUAGCUGUGUCUCUUUGGGCAAAUUGCUCUUUGUGCCUCAGUUUCCUCACCCUUUCCUGGGGAUAAAACAAUGCCUACUUCAGAGGGUUCUUGAAAGGAUAAAAUGAAGUAAUGCAUACAAAGAAUUUAAA